rnacentral:rRNA from 1 species
UACAGAGGUCUCAAGCGUUGUUCGGAUUCAUUGGGCGUAAAGGGUGCGUAGGUGGCGGGGCAAGUUUGGUGUGAAAUCCCGGGGCUCAACCCCGGAACUGCACUGAAUACUGCCUUGCUUGAGCACUGGAGAGGGAACUGGAAUUUGACGGUGUAGCAGUGAAUGCGUAGAUAUCGUAAGGAAGACCAGUGGCGAAGGCGAGUUCCUGGACAGUUGCUGACACUGAGGCACGAAGGCUAGGGGAGCAAACGGGAGUUAGAAACCCGAGUAACG